CCUCUGCUUGCUUUCUGAUGGAACUGUAGGAUGUGCUGGGGAGGAAGGAGAGCUUCUGUCAUCUCUUGAAAGCAUCAACGCUAUGCUUUGUUGUUUUCCCCAAGACUUCCUACAAAAGUACUUUCUUCUACUGGGUGAUGCCUCCGUGACCACAUUUCCAACAGCCCAUAGCAGCGCGGUUUGGCGAGCAGAGUGUGCUGUUCACCCACAGCCCAGUAUGAGCGAGGCUGCCCAGCGCCCUGCCAAAGUGAUGGGACUGCUGCCCGGGGCACUGCACUCCUCUACCACCGGCCCUUGCUCUGCAGCAUCAGCAUCAGCUCUGCGAUGGGAGCCAGGUGGGUUGGAAGACAAGAGCUCGCAGCAUCAGGUCCAGGUGGGUGCCCCCGUUGUCGUGGUCUAUCCCCAUGGACUGGGUUUCUUCAGGACUCAGAGACUGACGCUUCAGUCUUGAGAUGGGGAAAUUUUCGUCUCGACUCUCCUUAAAUCUUUCUGCAGCGAGAGAUUUCAAGUCAAAUGUGUUUCCGCACACUUUUCCUGAGAAGGCGGAUUUACAUAUGCAUUAGGUUCAUUUUAUCAGAAUACACACACAGCAGUGACACAUCUCAUUGACAAUGUGCUGUCUGAUGGAUAACUCCAUACAAAACACACAUUUGAAAGGAAAAUAGGAGGAGGAAUAGGAUUAAGAGUCUGUACAUAAGUGACAUCAUGUUUUGUGAAGAUGAACUGUGGGAAUGUCUUGCCCUACUUUGUAUUUUUUGAUUACUCAGAGAUCCAACAAGUCCUUUGCAAGUGUAAGAAAUACUAACGUACAGCGUCACCAUAUAGAAACUACCAGGACAAAGUUUUUCCUCACAGGAAUUUGUCACGUACUGCAUUUGAUAAUCACGGGAUAAAGGAAAAAUGAGAAGGGAAAAGGGGGAAAAAAAUAGUGACUUGAGUUUUGCCUGUUCCUAAACUUAGAUUUUUUGAUACCGCAUCUCCACGUUGAUUUAUUUUUGCCAUCAUCCAGACAGUUCCGUGCUGUGAUUUUGUUUUUCAAAGGCUGGCAGAAAUGUUUACAUAUCAGGAGACCGGGGAGAACAACAACAGGAGGGCAGCAUCAGGCUGUUACCCCUCCGGGCUUCUAUCUGUGUCUGACCGGGGUGGUGCUUAUAAAGUUCUGUUGUUGCGGUGGUGAG
ensembl:lncRNA